GACGGAGGAUGCAAGCGUUAUCCGGAAUGAUUGGGCGUAAAGCGUCCGCAGGUGGCAGUUCAAGUCUGCUGUCAAAGACCGGGGCUUAACUUCGGAAAGGCAGUGGAAACUGAACAGCUAGAGUAUGGUAGGGGCAGAGGGAAUUCCUGGUGUAGCGGUGAAAUGCGUAGAGAUCAGGAGGAACACCGGUGGCGAAGGCGGUCCACUGG
rnacentral:rRNA from 1 species